UAACCUGGAAAAUCAUAGUCACUCCCUGAUU
rnacentral:piRNA from 1 species